AUUGAACGCUGGCGGCAGGCCUAACACAUGCAAGUCGAGCGAGCGGCGGACGGGUGAGUAAAGUAUGAGGACCGCCCGAUAGAGGGGGAGAACCAUUGGAAAAGGUAGGUAAUACCGCCUAUUAUAGGAUAACACAUAGGGGUUUAGCUAGUAGGUGAGGUAAUGGCUGACCGAGGCGACGAUCCCUAGCUGGUCUGAGAGGAUGAUCAGCCACACUGGGACUGAGACACGGCCCAGACUCCUACGGAGGCAGCAGUGGGGAAUAUUGCACAAUGGGCGCAAGCCUGAUGCAGCCAUGCCGCGUGUAUGAAGAAGGCCCUCGGGUUGUAAAGUACUUUCAGACGGGAGGCGUUACCGACAGAAGAAGCACCGGCUAACUCCGUGCCAGCAGCCGCGGUAAUAC
rnacentral:rRNA from 1 species